rnacentral:tRNA from 1 species
CGCGGGGUAGACGGUUUGGUAGCUCGCAAGGCUCAUAACCUUAAGGUCACAGGUUCAAAUCCUCUCUCCGCAA